GAGCCCAGCGCUGUGGGGCUGCAGGCGUGUUUUACAAUUGCCUCAUCAGGGUCAGCAGUGCCUGUCAUCGCUUCCAAAGCAGGAUGCUUCAGGAGUCAGUGUGCCCUGUCGCUUCUUCUUGCAACACCAGUUGGACUCCUCACUCCGCAAUGCCUGACAGAGGCACAAAGGAUGUUUGUUGUUGCUCAUAGGAGUUAGGAAGGAGACCCGCGAAGUAAAGGGAAGGUGCCUCCGAUGUCCUGGAGUGGUGCUGGGGUGGCGGGAGGAGGGCAGGGCUAUUGCGUUUUGUCUUGACCUGCUGCAGAAGAAGGGCACAGACCACACUCAGCUCCGGCACCACAAAAGAAGCGCAGCCCCUUGUCUGCGGACUCGUAACAUUUCUCAUUUAACUUUUAAGCAUUAGCAAUGUACCUCAGGAUAAGCGGAUCAACUGAGCAGAAACAUCUUAAUGUUAGAAUUAAUCCUUCACUUUAGAACUAAAACCAGAUAGCUGUGCAGAUAAAACUGUUUCUCCUUUCUGCUCCUCGCCGUAAUGGAAAAAGUAAAGUAUUCAAGAAAUAAUUUCAGAGCUUGGCUAAACAUUAGCAGCACUUUCUGUGUAACAAAUACGUGAUGCUAUGGUUUUGGAAAUGGAACUGGAGACGGCUGAUGCACUUAUAUGAGAGGAACUGGGCUACCAGCCAAAAUCUGAGUUCUGCUAGUUAUGUUCGCAACCAGGAAUUAAUUCCUGAAUUGAUGCAUCUGAGGAUAGAAACGCAAACUAUAGCAUAAUGUGCAGAAUCUGUGGGCUGUGUGCAUAUUUAUCUCCUCCUUAUAUUGCUUUUCUUUAUCUGGCCUCUCUAGAUCUGAAAAUUCACAGGAGUCUUGACUCACAAUGCUCUUUGGAAGUGAAGCAAUCUAUAUUUACAACCUAAGUCCUGUGUAAAAGGUGGAAGCCCUCACUCUCCCUGUGCCUUGGAGCCUGGUGCCCUUUGAAGAGUUUCCUUUCGCAAGGGCUGGUUCAAUCAGUACGCAUGAAACGGUAGAACCACGGUGAAAAAUCCUAAACACUCUCAUACUUCUUUCCCCUAAUGAUUAAGACAUGAAACAUAUUACUUGUAAGUCUUUGAGAUUAUUAGUUUUUAAAUCUUCAAUGUUUUCUACCUGAAACUACCGGUAACAAGCACCCUCAAGAAAAUCAGCACUACUGAGAUGUAAGGAGGAGUCUGGCAAAUUCCAGAGAAGGAGCUGAAGCAGGGGCAGUAAAUGUUGACUUGUGUAAAAUACCGUUUUGAGACAGCACACAGUUCUCUUAUGCUAAUUUGGAUUCUAUUCAGCAAGUACAUGGCUAUGCUGAAAAGCAACGUACCAAAGCUAUGGGCACGGUCCACCUGCAGUGCUCUGUGUGACGGCAGCAGCUGGCCUUCUGGGUUUGUCACUCCACCUGAGGUGAAAAACACAGGCUCAUGUCAUGAAGGCUUUGGGCUUCCCUCGCUGCCUCUGACAGAACGAGGCAGCUGAGCGUCUUCCUGGAAAAGUGACGAAACACUAACGGAGCACAUUGGGACUGCAGCUGUUGCCACCCGGAGCCUAUGUAUAGAAGUGCUCUGCUCCACACACAUGUGGCAGACAACUGUAUUUGCCGGCAGCACAACUGAAGUUUGCGUUACCUUUCUGUCAUUGCUCUAGACUCAGUUGCUGCAGGAGGACACCUGAGUCAGCUUCAGAGUUCUUAAUUAAAGGUGGAAUUUCGCUGAAGUAUAUAGCUGAAAUGUGUACUCAGACUGUUCACCAGAGGUGUAUACACUGCUGAUGUGAGUGAGGAGGGGAGAAGCAACAAGAGGAGAAGGCAGCGCAGGAGGAUACGAUGUCCCUGACCAGUGCUAAUGCAAAGCCUCUGAUUCCCAUCCUGUGCCACUCAACUGUGGUAUUACUUUUCUUAGGGCACACUAUUUCUCACAAAUAUGACUGUUACUGCGUGUAUUGUUUGCUGUAUGCACACCUAUUUUUCUAGUAAAAGCUGAAUGAAAUUUCUUCUCCUCAGCGGGAACAGUGAGAGCUCUCCUUAGUACUUCAGCCUGUUUUCAUACAUCCUGUGCUCAAGGUCUGCAAGAUAGCUAGUGUUGUAUCAGCCCUAUUUUAAAUUAAAACUCCGAAAUGAUUCUAGAAUUACAGAACAGGAAAAUUAUGGUCUUAGGAGAGCUCCCCAUUUAAUCAGCUCCUAGCCGCACAUUGUGCACUCAGCUCUGCAACUCAGUUGUGGCUUUGUAUUUGUACAGUUCUACAUUUUAAACUCUUUUUAGACAGCUUUUCCGUUUCUGUUAUAAUUGCUUUGCACGUGAAACAACAUCAGUUACAUGUUGAGUGAUACCAUAGCAUAGGCAACACCAGAGAAAAGAACUGUAACUGCUGAACGUUGCCCGGAGAAGCACCAAGAGAGAAAGCACAGAGCUUAGCUGCUUAAUCCAGGAUCACGUAGGCUUCCUUGUCUUUUCUAUCCCUAAAUGCACCAUGCUCAGUUGAGAAAGGGGCAGGAGAGCCUGCCAGGUGAAGGCACAGCAGUAAUACAGACUGGAGCUGGGAGAUGUGGUGACUUUGAACCACGCUGACCUCCAGUGAGAGACCAGCCAUGCAGGGACCAUGACAGCAGGCUGGCCUACAGGAGAGUGGUUGAUAUACUGGUGAGACACGCUGGUGGGCUGAAGAAACUGCUGCUUUGCUGGUUGCCCAUGGAUCAGUGGCAGCUAAAUAAAAUACUGUGUGAGCUGCUUCUUACUUCGCUAAGAUCUCAAUUGCAGCUAGGAAGAUCUGGGCGCACUGCUCUUCCCAACUGGCACAUUUCACUGCCUAAAUUUUAUGAAAUGCUCAAUUCCUGAAAUUUUAAAUGGUAUGAUAUCAUCUUACAUCAUGCCAAAAUAGUAUGUCCCUGAUCCUUCUGGGCCUGCUAUGCGUAUUCCUUAUGCUUUUGGAGACCAUUAGUGUCCGUGGUUUCACUAACUUAAACAUGCGUCUUGAUGUAGACUUAAAACAGUUCUUGAACUGGUCUAACCAGGUGUGAAGCACCAUGCUGGGAAAUUGGAUGAUUCAGGCAGACAACAAUGUAAUAAUUAAAACACGUUAUUUGCAUUACAAAUGGCAGUAAGUCAAGCCCGUAUAAGCCGGAGCCAAGACACAUUCCUUAUCAAGAUACAGUCCUCGUCAAGGUACAGUCCUCAUCAAGAUACAGUCCUCAUCAAGAUACAGCCCUCAUGAGUGUUGUUCUCCUGUAGGUGUCUGACAGCCUGAUUCCAGGGGUGAUACCACGGCAGCUAAACCUGUCUGGUGCCAGCGUUUGUGGAUCCCCAUGCCAGAUAUUUUACAUCAUGCAGAGCAGAGCCUUUCGAAGAAUUGGCUUCUUCUUCACGACAGGGCAUUUUUCCUCCUUUCCAAGAACAGCGGCGUGUGUUCUGCCGGUUCUUUGGUGCAGCUGGACUGUGUUGGCAGGUCAGGCUAACAUUUCGCUGUAUGAGCCGCUCCUUAUCGCUGGCUUUCUUCGUGCUGUGAAGCUGGUGCUCAGGUGUCCUGAGGACGCAGGAUAACUAUCAGAAGCUGCAGAUGUUCAUGGGAGGAGGUUGGCGCCACCGUUUGGGAGCAGAUUAUCCGGUGGUGUGACUCCACAGCAGGGUAAGCUCAUCUUUGCCUGGGCUGCCUUGGCCUGCCCAGCCUCCCACCAUCUCCUGCCCCCUGGGAUGUGUUUCCAUCCCCUCCUUCCUCCAGCACCUGCGGUUGUGUGAUCUGGUGGUGAGAAGAGCGACACGUCCGUGUCCUGCCAGGCCUGGCCAGGUUCCUGAUUUCAAGGGAGAGGGCAGGAGGAGGUUGCUGUGGAACAGAGCCGUGCUACGGACUCAAAGCUGCAGCUGCAAGAGCUCAAACUGAGGCACAGGCAGGCGCUGCCUGUCUCAGGGAGGUGCAGAAGGCUGCCUGCCUCCCCGGUGUGUUAAUAACUCGUCAGCAACCUUGUUUCUGGAGUCUGUGAUACGAGCGACAUGAGGAAGAAGCCCAGAGCUGGCCUUCCAAAUGGUGCUGGAGCCAAAAGGGAUCAAAGGAACUCAAGGAUACUUUUAUGACAAACCCAACUUGUCUGUGUCUUGCUUUGUGUGGGACAGACGCGGGGCAGAUCAGAGAGAAAACUGAUCACCUUAAGUUUCUGCUUCAAUUAUUUUCCACUGUCUUGGUUUUAAAUGGACAGAUAAAUCAUUUACCGCAGUGUUCAGGUGUGAGGCAGAGCCAUUUCAGGCAUUUUCAGCUUGAUCUCCUACAGAAAUUAGGCUUAUUUUCUUCCCCCACCUCUGGCUCUACACUCCCCCGUACCACACCUUUUAACCCAGGACCGAUUUCAGUUAGGCAUGGAAAAGAAACACUCAGUGUGGGUUUGCUCCUUAGACCUCAGAGAAUCCCAUUGUAAGGCACAAAAUAAGAGGAAACAAAACGAAGUUCUGCUUAUGGAGCUAUCUGCUAAAUUCUGCAUAAACCAAAAGUCUCUGCUUUAUCGUACGGGGAAGCUCACUGAACUGCAAAAGAGGGGGCUGGCCAUUUCUUUUGAAUGUUUCUGGUCUGAUCUUUUAAUUCAUGUUUCCCAUGCUAAAAAGAAGGAGCGCUGUGUCACUGCGUGACCUUUUAUGUGGCUGGGUUCAACUUUGUUUGACUGGAAACCAGAGUGAGCAGCAGUAAAAAGGCAUUUUGGUAUUUAGUUACCUGCCUGCCUCGGUACAGACCUGGGCAACAACAUUAAAAGGCCUGAAAACCACCAGAAUCUGUUGUUUCUGGUAGCUGCAGGAUCGGCUUGUGCAGAAGCUGCCCGGAUGUUCUAGCAGCCAGUCUGUCUAACGUCCCUAAAUCCCGGCCUUUCAGGUGCUCACACAAUUGGAGAGAGAAGUGGGACUGAGAAGGGGACACCGCGGUCAGCUCAGCAGUACGCUGCAGGAUCGAGGUGUAGGGCUCAGGGAGACAGAGCCCAGCAACCUGCUUUUUGCAUUCAUGUCGCCAGUUUCUGUUCUACCAGCAACUGCAGCGACCGGUUUGUUAAUUAAAUAAUCUCAGAGCUGGACACUGCUAGUUAAGGAGAAGGAAGGCUAGCUGUUGAUGGCUCUCAGGAAUUUGCAAUAAAGCUUUCAUGACAUUACCCUGCACUUCUCACGUUCCCCUUUACCAGAUUUAUGUAAAUUUGUGUUGAUGCAACGCUGUGAGUCAGUGGCAGUUUUCUUGGAGCACAGAUAAGUUGACUCCAGAUAUGCGUCUCUGUCGGAGAGCUGCAGCCAAGGCUCCGCACGGCUCAGAAAAGGUCCAAAAGGGGAAGGGGGCAGCCCCUCCGGGCAGGGGGCUCUUUGGGAAGGUCUCUGCUGCUCCUCGGAGCUGCAGCAAAUCCACUCUGCAAAAAAAAGGCGUUAUCCUUGCAUCUCCAGUCACCCAUCUGUGUAUUACCAAGUACAGCGUGGUUGUUUGUUUGUUUGUUUUUAGUCUUGAAGGCUAUUUCUAUUCAUUCUCUGUGAGAUAAAAGGACCUUAAAGCUUGUAGGCUAAAACUGGCAUAAAAGGUAAGCGUUCCAGGCACGUUUUGUACUCCGAGUGAAGCCACACACGUGAUUAUGAAUCGUGGAAAGUAUUCACGAGUUCCUAUUUCCCCUUGGGGUAGAAGCUGGGAGAAGCAGCAGGAGUGGCUGCACAGAAAGCACAGAGGAGAGCGUGCCUGGGGGUUUGCACCGGAGCUGCUCACAGCGUCACGUCACGAAUGGAUUCUGCUGACCCGAACAUUUCAUUCCUGUGAGCAAGCCUCUGCUUCUGCGCUACCACCGAUCCCUUCCAUGGCUUCUGGCUUCAGGGAAAAACUGAGAUGUUUUGAAGCUGUUAGAGGCAAAGCAAACCCAGACAAGUCUUCGCUCUCUGCAUUGUUUAAACUCGGGGAAUUUGUUGUUGAAAAAAACAGUGGAGAAAUAUUGAAAGCAACGAACGGAUCUGUACAGUUCUGCACUUGAGCGUGGCAGGCGUACCUCCCAGGGCUCCCCUGGCUCUCAUGCAAACGCUUUUCUGAGAGGACUUGGAGUGAGGAGGCACCUGCCUCGGGCUGCCCUGCCGCUGCCCUGCCAGUGCCUCCUGCUAAAGGAACGAGAAGAGGCUGAUUCCCCUCGCUGGGAGGGUGAGUGAAAUGAAGCAGGACGCUGGCCUGCCGAAAUGUGGGCGCUGUGGGAGCCAGACGUCGCUUCUCCUGUGCAUAAAACCAGCAGCGCUGCUUCAAUGUCGUGUUCCACUAACAGGUGUUUGGAAAAAACCCUAAAAAUGCCUGCUCCCACCCCCAGUGCUCUGUUGCAGUCCCCAGCUGAGAAGGUCUAGUGGAAAACAGUUGAUGGGAUGGGGCAUCGUAACUGCUGCCAGAGGCACUGGUUUACCACUUCUGAAAUUUCUGUGUGAACCGGACAGGUUUUGAAUAAAAAGCCUUAUUUUGUUGGAAAGCACGGAAAAAAAAAGGUUGUGGGAGUAGGUCGGCAUUUCCUAACAGAUCAGCUCAGGCUGUUUGGUAAGGAAGGGAAGAAAGAAGGUGCGGCAAAGAUGCCUGCGACCUUGCUUGUGGCAUAUUCUUCCCAAAUGAGGCUGAUUCAUAUUUGGAAAUGAUUUGACUGCAGGCAGAUAGUUUAGAACAUAAUGUAUUAUGCAGAUCUCUACCUAAUUUACUUGUCAAAUUAGAUCAUUAAAAUGCUUCGAGCACUCAUGGCUUGGUUUAAUUCCGCAGCAUUUUUAAGGCAAACUUACCGCCUUUCCUCACACAAACCUUGGCCACAUCUUCUGUCCACCCUGGUGCUCCUGGAGCAGGACUGACGGAGAGACACGGGCACGGAGAGGACUGGGGGCUCUUUGAAAGGGAUUUCAAGCCGAGGCUGCAGGAGGGGGUGGCUUCACCCGAGGCUUUCCUGUGACAUGAUAAUUGAGCUGCAUUUUUGUGGCUCCAUGACUCUGACACCAUAGUUUUGCACAGACGUUAAAUUGCACCUUGUAGGAACCUGGGCAGCUGCGCUGGGAAGUCCCACAAGAAGCAGAGGGUGAUUUUUUGAGAUUCGCAAUGAGGGAAGGCACGAACUGUAAGCAUUUUUGGCGGAUUCUCCUAAGGAGUAUUCCAGCCUCGCGUGUUCCUACCUCCCUGCAGAUCUUCAACUUUGACUCCGUACAAAUUAUCAAAUGACUGCUGUCAUGAGCGCGGUGCCGAGCCAGACGAUGGGUGUCCUUGUUGCAUAAUGCAGAGCUGUGGCCAGGGGAGUUUUUAGCAAUAGUGGGGAAGGGCGGGGUGUGGAGGCCACACUCUGUAAUUGAGGAUCAAAGGUAACCGUCUCUGCUGCUCAAUGUGUGGGGCAGCCGCUCAGCUGCAAAAGGCAGGAGUGUCGGGAAGCAUCUCACAUCCAAACCUUUUGUCACCAGGGAGAAGUGAAGAGGGAAGGCUUUCGGCAGCUGCUCAAAGGCGAAGAUGGAUUUCAAGAGCAUGAAGAACUAUCUCUACUGGCUGUACUGCCAGUUUGAACUCAUCACCUGCAGCUACCUCAUGGAGCCCUGGGAAAAACUGCUUUUCUACACUUUUAACAUCACCAUGUUAGUGAUGAUAUCGUACACCGCUUACAUCUUUAUCCCCGUCCACAUUAGCACGGCUUUUCAAUUCUUCUUGCACUUGCUUGGAAACCAACAUGAGAACGCUGUUUCUAUCGUGAAGUAACAUUGGCAACCUGGUGCUGACUUUUGGAUCAAGGAAGUGUUUUUCUUAACACUCCGUUUCUGUUUAGAAAGACAGGUUCAGGGUGUGUGCAAACACUGUUCUAUUCCGCAGUAUCUCUUAGUUUUCUUCUGUGUUCUGGGACUCUGUGACAGCAAAUUAUUUUGCCAAAACAAUUUCAAUCAGUCCUUGUUUUUAUCAUUUGACUGACUGCUUUUUAAGGAGCUUUCAGUUUUAAAGACUGGCUGGAGUUAUGGAGCUGGGUUUGGUACAGAAACGACUGUGCUGCAUAUAUUGUUAUUCCGGGGAGAGCUGCUUGGAUAUGGAGCUUUCAUCUUCAGAAAUUACAUGGCAUGUAUUUGUUCUGGUCUGCCACAGCUUUGCUGACGGGAAAGAUGUAUACAUGAAAGAUUUUGUACGAUAUUAGACAACCAUAAGCUGCUUCUAUGUAACUAGUCUUGGUAUGUAUGUAUAUAUGUGAUGAUUUUAGUUUUUAUUCCGUUUGCCUCAAUUAUUUAGCAGUGAAUUAUUUGAGUGGUUCAGUAUCAUUACGUAAACAACGCAGUUGAUUUAUUGAAAAUGUGGGGGUUAAUUCCAUACAAAUUUAAAAUAAAAUUUUGAUUUUCUUGGAC